GAACGCCCGGGAUGUAGUAAAAUCCAAGAGGAGCUUGCAAAAGUAUUUGGCUAGUCGAAACGUUUUCUCGUUAACCGGGAUAACUUUUGCCCAUAUGAACAGGCUCUAAGUUUCUACCACAGAAAUAUAGAAUAGAUAUUGGGUUUUUGCUUAGACCGCUAGCAGUACCCACGGAAAAGAGGGACUGCUCGGAGUCUCUAGUUUCUACUUUCAUGCUCUGACUUUUAACCGUGGUUAGUGACUAAUUAACCACGGUUAAUACCAUAGAUGGUUAAUACUAACUGACUUUCAUCUAAAAUGGCGCCAACCAAGGCCAAUGCCAAGGCCCCAACUGCUGACGAUUCGGUUAGUACGAGUAGUCGUAGUCAACUCAACCGAAGUUCUAGCAUAAAUAUUCCCUUGGUGCUUCGACCAGCGACUUUUGUGGCCAAUAUUACUAAAGAAAAUGAUCUUUUUAAUGCCACUGAAACUAACAUUCGGGCGAAACUCCACUCAGAGAAAGAAGAUGUGUCGCAAGAUGGUAAGCGUACUUUUUUAAAGAAUUUUAUCAUAUAAUUUU